UGGGGAAUAUUGCACAAUGGGCGCAAGCCUGAUGCAGCCAUGCCGCGUGUAUGAAGAAGGCCUUCGGGUUGUAAAGUACUUUCAGCGGGGAGGAAGGGAGUAAAGUUAAUACCUUUGCUCAUUGACGUUACCCGCAGAAGAAGCACCGGCUAACUCCGUGCCAGCAGCCGCGGUAAUACGGAGGGUGCAAGCGUUAAUCGGAAUUACUGGGCGUAAAGCGCACGCAGGCGGUUUGUUAAGUCAGAUGUGAAAUCCCCGGGCUCAACCUGGGAGCUGCAUCUGAUACUGGCAAGCUUGAGUCUCGUAGAGGGGGGUAGAAUUCCAGGUGUAGCGGUGAAAUGCGUAGAGAUCUGGAGGAAUACCGGUGGCGAAGGCGGCCCCCUGGGCGAAGACUGACGCUCAGGUGCGAAAGCGUGGGGAGCAAACAGG
rnacentral:rRNA from 1 species